rnacentral:rRNA from 1 species
UAGAGUUUGAUCCUGGCUCAGGAUGAACGCUGCGGCGUGCCUAUACAUGCAAGUCGAACGCACAGCGAAAGGUGCUUGCACCUUUCAAGUGAGUGGCGAACGGGUGAGUAACACGUGGAUAACCUACCUCAAGGUUGGGGAUAACAUUUGGAAACAGAUGCUAAUACCGAAUAAAACUUCGUAUCGCAUGAUACAAGGUUAAAAGGCGCUACGGCGUCACCUAGAGAUGGAUCCGCGGUGCAUUAGUUAGUUGGUGGGGUAAAGGCCUACCAAGACAAUGAUGCAUAGCCGAGUUGAGAGACUGAUCGGCCACAUUGGGACUGAGACACGGCCCAAACUCCUACGGGAGGCUGCAGUAGGGAAUCUUCCACAAUGGGCGAAAGCCUGAUGGAGCAACGCCGCGUGUGUGAUGAAGGCUUUCGGGUCGUAAAGCACUGUUGUAUGGGAAGAACAGCUAGAGUAGGGAAUGACUUUAGUUUGACGGUACCAUACCAGAAAGGGACGGCUAAAUACGUGCCAGCAGCCGCGGUAAUACGUAUGUCCCGAGCGUUAUCCGGAUUUAUUGGGCGUAAAGCGAGCGCAGACGGUUGAUUAAGUCUGAUGUGAAAGCCCGGAGCUCAACUCCGGGAAGGCAUUGGAAACUGGUCAACUUGAGUGCAGUAGAGGUAAGUGGAACUCCAUGUGUAGCGGUGGAAUGCGUAGAUAUAUGGAAGAACACCAGCGGCGAAGGCGGCUUACUGGACUGUAACUGACGUUGAGGC